GACGAACGCUGGCGGCGUGCUUAACACAUGCAAGUCGAACGGAAAGGCCCUGCUUGCAGGGUACUCGAGUGGCGAACGGGUGAGUAACACGUGGGUGAUCUGCCCUGCACUUCGGGAUAAGCCUGGGAAACUGGGUCUAAUACCGGAUAGGAGCCAUUUUUAGUGUGAUGGUUGGAAAGUUUUUUUCGGUGUAGGAUGAGCUCGCGGCCUAUCAGCUUGUUGGUGGGGUAAUGGCCUACCAAGGCGGCGACGGGUAGCCGGCCUGAGAGGGUGGACGGCCACAUUGGGACUGAGAUACGGCCCAGACUCCUACGGGAGGCAGCAGUGGGGAAUAUUGCACAAUGGGCGCAAGCCUGAUGCAGCGACGCCGCGUGGGGGAUGACGGCCUUCGGGUUGUAAACUCCUUUCGCUAGGGACGAAGCUUUUUGUGAUGGUACCUAGAUAAGAAGCACCGGCUAACUACGUG
rnacentral:rRNA from 1 species